rnacentral:rRNA from 1 species
ACCAGCUUUCUGAAAGUGUUCGACGGCGUGGGAAAACUCAUGGCAAUGUGGCGACGGAGAGAGAGGGGUGAAAACCGUGGUAAACGUGGCAACGGUUUUUGAGGUGGACAGAAAGUAVUAUGGUGAAGUAUCCAGUGGUGGCAAGGAAUGUACGGUAGAGUUUGUAGUGGAGUUGGGAGGGGCGAGCAUAAGGAACGAAGGGAUAAGAAACUUGUCGGAUGCGAUCAUACCAGCACUCAAGCACCGGAUCCCAUAAGAACUCCGAAGUUAAGCAUGCUUGGGCGAGAGUAGUACUAGGAUGGGUG